UACGUAGGGUCCAAGCGUUAUCCGGAAUCACUGGGCGUAAAGCGUGCGUAGGCGGGUAUUUAAGUGAGAUGCGAAAUCUUGUGGCUCAACCAUAAGACUGUAUCUCAUACUGGAUACCUAGAGGAUGGCAGAGGCUAGUGGAAUUACGGGUGUAGCAGUGAAAUGCGUAGAGAUCCGUAGGAACACCAAUGGCGAAGGCAGCUAGCUGGGCCAUUUCUGACGCUAAGGCACGAAAGCGUGGGGAGCGAAC
rnacentral:rRNA from 1 species